rnacentral:misc_RNA from 1 species
CGCACAUUGCGCCCUCUGGUAUUCCGGAGGGCAUGCCUGUUCGAGCGUCAUUUCAACCCUCAAGCCUGGCUUGGUGAUGGGGCACUGCCUGUAAAAGGGCAGGCCCUGAAAUCUAGUGGCGAGCUCGCCAGGACCCCGAGCGUAGUAGUUAUAUCUCGCUUUGGAAGGCCCUGGCGGUGCCCUGCCGUUAAACCCCCAACUUCUGAAAAUUUGACCUCGGAUCAGGUAGGAAUACCCGCUGAACUUAA